rnacentral:rRNA from 1 species
UUCCCGUACGACCACCGAAGUUAAGCAACGUCGAGCCUGGUCAGUACCUAGAUGGGUGACCUCUUGGGAAUACCAGGGGCUGUAA